rnacentral:rRNA from 1 species
UACGUAGGGGGCAAGCGUUGUCCGGAUUUAUUGGGCGUAAAGAGCGUGUAGGCGGUUUGGUAGGUCCGCUGUGAAAACUCGAGGCUCAACCUCGAGACGCCGGUGGAAACCAUCAGGCUAGAGUCCGGAAGAGGAGAGUGGAAUUCCUGGUGUAGCGGUGAAAUGCGCAGAUAUCAGGAAGAACACCCGUGGCUAAGGCGGGUCUCUGGGCAGUAACUGACGCUGAGGAGCGAAAGCGUGGGGAGCGAACAGG